CCAAGAAGAUUCAUUCUCCCCAAAAUUACAUUUGAAUUAAAUUAUGAGUGGUCGUCAGGAGAGGACGAGGAAAAGGAAAGCUAACGACUCUUCUGUGCAGACCUCCAGGCCAAAGGUGCACUUCAGGCUGGAAGAGACGCUCUCCAGCCGGUGUUAACAACUUUGGGAACAUGGCGACUUUACUUGAUAUGCCAGGCGACGCUGCUACACUUCAACAAGGUCUGGCAGCUCUGCAGACCUACGCAGAAGGAAUGAAUUUACCUGCAUCUCUGUAUGAAGGAGGGUGUCCAUAGGGAGCCUGAAGGACCUCAGCUGAGCUCAGAGAUGUCCUGGAAGAAAGUUC